UACGGAGGGGGCUAGCGUUGUUCGGAAUUACUGGGCGUAAAGCGCACGUAGGCGGACCAUCAAGUCAGUGGUGAAAUCCCGGGGCUCAACCCCGGAACUGCCUUUGAAACUGGAGAGCUAGAAUCUUGGAGAGGCGAGUGGAAUUCCGAGUGUAGAGGUGAAAUUCGUAGAUAUGCGGAAGAACACCAGUGGCGAAGGCGACUCGCUGGACAAGUAUUGACGCUGAGGUGCGAAAGCGUGGGGAGCAAACAGG
rnacentral:rRNA from 1 species